UGGGGAAUAUUGCACAAUGGGCGCAAGCCUGAUGCAGCCAUGCCGCGUGUGUGAAGAAGGCCUUCGGGUUGUAAAGCACUUUCAGCGAGGAGGAAGGUGGUGAGCUUAAUACGCUCAUCAAUUGACAUUACUCGCAGAAGAAGCACCGGCUAACUCCGUGCCAGCAGCCGCGGUAAUACGGAGGGUGCAAGCGUUAAUCGGAAUUACUGGGCGUAAAGCGCACGCAGGCGGUUUGUUAAGUCAGAUGUGAAAUCCCCGGGCUCAACCUGGGAACUGCAUUUGAAACUGGCAAGCUAGAGUCUCGUAGAGGGGGGUAGAAUUCCAGGUGUAGCGGUGAAAUGCGUAGAGAUCUGGAGGAAUACCGGUGGCGAAGGCGGCCCCCUGGACGAAGACUGACGCUCAGGUGCGAAAGCGUGGGGCAGCAAACAGGAUUAGAUACCCUGGUAGUCCACGCUGUAAACGAUGUCGAUUUUGGAGGUUGUGCCCUUGAGGCGUGGCUUCCGGAGCUAACGCGUUAAAGUCGACCGCCUGGGGAGUACGG
rnacentral:rRNA from 1 species